GCAGUCACCACAGAUCAUGGGAGCUCCUAACUGCAGGGUCCCCGCUGGGGUGUCCCGCACUUCUCCUCCCAGGGGUCCUGGGCUGACUGAGAAAGCUACAGCACAAGGCAGGCAGCCUUGGCUUCCCAGACCUCUGAGCCCCCAGGGCUGUGUGCUCCAGACGCAGGGAGGACAUGCUGGGGUGGGUCACUGGCAGACCCCUGCUGUCCCAGGACUUCCAGUUUAGAGGAGGACACAGGUACCCAACAAGUCUUCAGGUGGCCAGUGUCGUGGAGGACGCCUCUGGUUGCCGUGUGGAAAGCAGCAGCAGGAGGAAGAGUGAACGUGUGGAGCUGGGGGUUGGAACAGCACAGAAAAAGGUGACGGGGGGCGGGCGACAGGCUGGCAGUGGAGACGAUGGAGAAAAGGAGCUGAUUCCAGGCCGACUGGAUGGUAGACUCGGAAGGUGUGGGUAGGGAGGCGGGAGGCAAGGGAGGCGGUGUCUGUCUGGCCUGAGCCACUGGGUGGAUGGGGGAGCCAUUUCCAUACGGGAAGAGUGGAGACAGCACAUAUUUGAGGCUGGGAGGGGAACCAAGAGUUCAGCUGAAGCAUGUUACGUUUGCGAUGUCCAGGAGAUAACCCAGAAUCAGUGUCCCUUCCUGACGCGUCACAGAAGCUCACUCCCCACAGCACGUGUCUCUGGUUGGACUGCCACUCACAUGGCUCCACUCCCCCAGUGCACAGCAGGGCAUGACCUCGGGCGGGACAGUCAUGGCACCCACCGCCUGGACACAGAGACUGGUCUUGGAGUGGGCACACAGCGCUCAGGGUCACUGAGGAAGAGAGGGCUGCAGUCUUCUCUUGAAUCUGUGAGCUGUAAGGAAAGGGAAGGGUGGAGCUGUCGUGGCCUCUCGGCCACCAUAUGGAAUAAGGCAUCCCGAGAAUGAAACCAGCCCUGGAAAUUGGAGUCAGGAAAUGGAGAGAGGCUGAGUUCUGGUAACAUCGUUUGAACCUCUGGAUCCAUCCACGUUUAAAGUCAGAUCCGCUUUUUUGAUCCAUUAUGUAAACUAAUAAAAUCUUUUGAUUUCCCUGGAAGCUAGUUUGAACACUUCUACCUGCCACUGAAACACAAGGCGUAAGACUCCCGCAGCAUCCCGGAGGAGACGUCAGUCAGGUGGGCCUCCCGGAGCAGAGACAGAUGCCAACGUGGAGGAGGCCAGGUGCUGAGGAGGGACAGCCAAAAGGGACAAUGGCUGGAGAGGGACAUAGAAUCAAGGGACAUGUGGCAGGAUCUCCCAAAUGAUUCCAGUAUUCACUUUUGUUUUCUUUCUCGAGUUUUUAGCUGAGCACAUGGCCCUUCCAGGUGAGUGCGGCCAUGAAGCUAGGUCUGGCCCAAGAGAUGUGCGUGCUAGUGUUGUGGGGGCUCUCCAUUUCCCACUGGAUGGUGAGAGCCAUUGGAGCUCCAGCGCACAGCGUGGCCAUGGACGCUGGUGGAUACUGUCCAAUACCUGGUUCAAAACCAAGACACCCCUUCCCCCAAUCACCAAGAGUGUUGUCUGCUCGCCCACAGUUCAGUUGAGUCUUUCACUAGAAACUGCCUUGCCCAAAGUUAUGCCUCCUCCCUGGGGGGAUCAAUGGGGGUCUGCAUCCAAUGAUGGGUGGGAUGACAAGCCCAGCUCCCGGCCUCCAUGGAGACAACUUGGAAGGCCACCCCAGCUCCAGUGCUCCUGUGAGGCUGGCUGGGUCCUCCGUUGUGGUUACAUCACCCUUGCCCAGUCUUGCUUCCAUCCUCCCUUCCACGAGGGUUUAUCCCAAGAGCACCCCCCCGCAAAAACACCUUUCUGCAAAUCUCCGCCUCCGAGUCCGCUUCCUGAGCAAUGCAGCUCAGGACGGCAGCUGUCUUACACCGUGACGGGAGCAGCCUGUGGACGACAGUGACGUCAACGGCACAAAAAGCUUGAGUCUUUCAAAUCCACCAACUACUGUAUGAGCCCUGAACCGUCAACUUCCACGGUAGAAAAACAAACUCACAAUGGCGUUUGAGAUCUCUUUGUGACGGCGGUCUAGACACGUUCGGAUUGAUGCAGGGUUUGUUAUCAAGAAGUAGAAUGUCGGUGUGGCAAAACUGUAAGCACGAGGCACUGGGCUCUUGUCAGACAGCAGGCCCGAAACGUCAGGUUGAAAAGCUGAGGACCGCGUUACGUGAAACAGUCGGUAACGCUAACUCCUGCAGUGUUUUGGAAGACAGUUCACAUGUCUACGGGGCCUCUGGUUCUAGAGCAAGGGGUUGGAAAAUGUCCACAUGUCGGUGGGGACAGUCGUCCUCGCACAUUUAGCAAUGUCCUCAUGAGCCAUACGCUCAGAAUAGAUUCAGCAGUUCGUCAGCAGAGAAGAAAGUGAAUGGAGCUCCGUGAAUGGAGACCCUUCUGUCUGUGGCCGGUCAUCUAAGCUGGCGGAGAAUCCAGUAUUUGAAGCUGCCAUGUGCCAAGAAAGCCAACUGCUUUUGUACCCCAAACUGAAGCGACGACCGGAGGGGGCCGUCAAGAGGCAGCUUCCCCAGGAGUGUUCUGUAAUACGUUUUUGAGAGGAAUUAGUUGACCAAAGUCUACAAGCCUGGCCUGUACAACUUUGGGAUUGCUCAACUCCUAGAGAAAAUCAGGAGUUCCCAAACCUGCACCAGCAAGAAAUGGGCUGUGAAAACUGUAACCUCACUUCCCCCAGAAGGGCAUAUUCUUCAGAUGUGGCCCUAGAGGACAACUGACAAGGAAGGAACUCCCAGAAGGCAAAGCCAGGGGCCACAGGAAAUAAUAGACAAAAGAGAUGUUUUCAGUCCUCAGGUGCAGAGAGUAUGAGGAUAAACAGCCUCCCUUAAGAGGGCUGCAGGGAGCUGGUGGCUCAAGACCAGACGAGGAGGAAACAUUCCAAGAAGAGGCUGAAAACAGGGGAGUGUGCUGACUGAUGCAAGAGCUCCAGAGCGCGUUGUGCAAGAGAAGAGGAGAGGGGUACGGCAGGACCAUGGGCCGUAGAAGAUCUGAGUAGGAGCCCAGGGAUGAACACUCCCAGGUGGCAGGAGAAGAGGCAGUUAUGGGCAGAUUUUCCUGUCCCUCCAUUGUUUAGCUCUCAGUAACUCUGUGCCCCCAGUUCCCCACCUCAGGGGGAGAUGGGCUAUCUGCUGUGUUCACCCGCCCUAAUGCAGGGGCACAGUUCCUAUCAUGGAGACAGGAGCCCCCAGUCUGAUGAGGGAGCCAUGACCUCCCAGCUAUAGGACCCCCUGAGCCAACGCAGUCUGUUCUAACCCACUUUGGAACAUGGCCCUUGAGAAUGGAGUCAGGAUGUAGGGAGAAAUAAUAACUUUGUAGGUCAGGAGAGCAGAUCUGGCCCUGUGAUGUGUCUUGUCACAUUCUCAGCAAAGUGUGGGCUGGUCACAGGCAGCAUUUUUCUGGGUUUGGAUGGAGGUAUCUGGGUCAAGGAACAAAUUCAGUGCUGGACACAAGUGAUAGAGUUUUCAGCCUACAGCAGUGGGUACCCAGAAAAGGUCCAAAGACACAUUACUUUGGAUACACGCUUGGCCGAUGUCAACAGAAACUCAAGAGUGGCUCAAACAAGAUAGAUGUUCAUUUCCUCUUGUGUAGCAGUCCAGGCGCAAACAGUUUGGGGGCCAAAAUGGCACUAAGGACUCAGGCUUCUCCUAACUAACUUGCUAUGGUGACUUCUCUGGGGUCCUAUUCUUCCCGGGAGGAUCAGGGCAGUUCACCAGUACAAGGGUUUCCAGACUGAGGGAAGUAGGGGGAAAUGGGUCAAGAGGGGCUGCUCCCCUCUUUUUAAGGACUAUCUCUGAAAGUGCACACCUUGUUUUGCUCACAUCCUACUGGUCAGAACUCUUAGCUACCCUAGCCUUUGCUGCCAGGGAGCCUGGGAAAUGUAGUUUUUGUUCCAGGCAGCCAUGUAUCCAGUAAACACUUUCUGUUCUAUUGGAGAAAAGGAAAAAUUGUUAUCGGGACCAAACUAGCAGUUCUGCCACAUGAAACCCCAAGUGCAUGGAAAAGAGGUUCUUAUGCCUGUCUGCCCUGUACCUCAUUCCCCUGGGCCACAGUGUUGGGCAAGUGACUCGGUCUGAGAAAAUCAUAGUAACACAUCCCCCUGGCCACAGCCAUUGGUCCAGGACUGGGCACAUGACUCAAGCAGAGCCAAUCAGACUUCUUCCUCGGGACUUUCUGCUAACCAAAUCUGGUAGCAUGGUGCAAUUUCCUUUCCGGUCCUGAAACCAUGAGAAUGCAAUCCUGAACUGCCCAAGGUGAUUCUCCCUACCAGAGCAAGGCAAAGCCUGUCUGCUGAAGAAAUGGAGCCACCAGCCUCUGAAAGACAGAGAGAGGAGAGAAUCACCCAGCAGGGGGAGUAGGCCUCAUUCUAGACCUUCCUGGAGCCUGCUUUAUCCUUGCCCUGAUUGAGCCAGCUCGGCAAUACCACCUUUUCACCAAGCUGAUUCAAGUUCAGUUCAGCUCAUUCUUCCUCAGGCCGUCUUGAAACCCCAAAUCACACACCCUUGAAUCUGCUUUUUUCACCUCCUUUCUAACAGCUCUAUCCCAGUUACCUCAGGAGGUCCUUUCCCCACCGUUUACUCUGUCUACCCAAACAAUCCCGGCUGACUGAGUGUCAGGAUGGAGCCAGGCCUGCCCCUGUGUCAAGAAAAAGGCAGACCGCACGUCAGAAAGAUUAAUUAGAAUGAUGAAGAACAAAGGCUUUCAGCCUCUAAAGCCCUUGAAGAACAGCUCCAAGCUCCCUCAGAGCGUCCCACCCAUCUCCUUAUACUCUUGUUAAGAAACCUGCUUUCCCUCAAGCACCAGCUUUCAAGAGAAAAUAAACAGACUUUUCUAGAUCAGCAUUACUGUUUUUCCAUUUCUACCUACAGGUUUUACAACAGUAGGCUUCUUUUUUUUUCUGCCUGUGGCAGCCCAGCUUUGUGACGGGCAU